rnacentral:lncRNA from 10 species
AGGCCUGGUCCUGGAGGCUCUUGACUCCAGGCUUCCCUAAGGUUCCUGGAAGGCCUUCAUGUGUUAUUACUGGUUGGACAGAGAAGAGCACUGCCAGCCCCAGAUGGGAGUGAGAAGGCCGGUCGGGGAGAAGAGAAAGACAUGGUGUGACUUAACACUGAAGUCAGGAGCAAGGAAGAAGAGGAAGAGGCAAAAAGAAAAAUAAAGUCACAGAUCUGUGGGCAAGGCAGGAUAAAUGUGGUAUACUUUGCUUGUGGAUUUCUCCUAAUAUUAGGCUGUCACUGAAGAAGUCAGUAAACACACCUGCAAUACCCUUUGUCUCUGAAGACCACUACCUUCUUGGAGUAAAGGCAGAAUUGCAAUUUUAUUUUUUAAUUUGUAUUUAUAAAGAGAGAUGAGAGUCUCACUAUAUUGCCCAGGCUGGUCUCAAACUCCUGGCUUCAAUACAUCUUCCCAUCUUGGCCUCCCAAAGCACUGGGAUUACAAGCAUGAGCUAGCGUGCCUGGCCCAAAUUGCGAAUUUUAAAGAAAUUCCUCUUGCUGCAUGAAAAACCAAGCAAAGAAGAACAAUGAUUUAAAAAAAGAAAAAAGAGAGAGAAAGAGUUGGAGAGAAAGCUGUUGAACUGACUGCAGUUCCACCAAGCCAGGGGUACUUUAGUGAAUGGCAGGGAACCAGAGCCAUGGGGACAUAUCUCUGCCUCUCUUUGUAUCUUGGUGUGGCCUCAAGUUAAAAAAAGACAAUUGUUUGAGAAUGAUGAAAAGUGUUACUGAUAGGAACAAAGCAUGAAGAGAUUUGACAGAUGUUCACAUAAGCCAAGACAGAGUUCCGCUUGAGCCAUCACUUCUCAAGGACAUCAGGAACACUUCAGUAGCCAAAAAUGUUCUCUUCCAGUUCUGGCUGACAAAGAGUCAAUGAUCUGGCAGCUGUGUUACUUGCAGUUGUCACAUCCAGGUUUCAUGAUAGCAACUCACUGCUAUUUGGAGGAGAUGCAAGCUCCCAUGGAGGCUGCAGCUGUUGCACAAGCCAGCAGCUUACCUACUGAGUGGUGUCAGUCACGAAGCCUGUCCUCACUUCUGGUGAUUCCUAACCCCUUACAGCUACCAAGUCCAAUUCCAGCCUUUACCUGGUGUAAUUAAACACUCUAAUGAAGAAGACGACUUCACUGGCUUAUACAGAGCCCUGAGCCUGCCUAAGCAGCCAUUGUUUAGAAUGCUCACACCCCACUUAGAGUAACAUGAAACACGAAAUAUCAGAAACAGAUCAGAAAAAGAGACAUUGGACAUUUGUAUUAGAAAAUUUAUCAGUUUACAAAUAAUUCACAGUAGGAUUCCUUUAACUUAUGAACACCCCAUCCACCUAAGGGAUGAUUUAAUCUUCAAACUUUUGAUUCAUUCAUAACUUCUGCAGGAUCACAUUGAAAGAUGCUUUUCAUGGUCUAGCUGAAGAAAAUGACAGGCAUUUUUCUUGAAGCAAUUUCCAGCUGCUAUCUCUGAUUCUUAGUGAACGUAUGACCUAAAUAGAAGUUGAGGACUUUUCCAAUUCAUUGUGUUUCUGUGUCAGAGUCAGAGUGCUGUAAACUUCAAUUUUAUUUAUGGUGUAUUUGUCUAAAACAUGGCUAAAAUGUAUAUGACACUAAAAUUUUUUCAGAAAUUAAAAACACAUAUAUACAUAGACAACUUACUUUGCCAGAUCCUCAAUCUGUUCCUUAAUAUUGGUUAUUGGCAGUAUUGAUUUGGUCACCUCAUACACAUACAUAGAGAAAUCAGGGUCAGAGGGAGGACACCAUUCUUUGUCAGAGCUUCCUUCACCAACAAAUUUUGGUACCACCAUAACCUCUUCCUCCUCUUUCACUUUUUCCUCUUCUUUUUUUCCUUUGCUUUUCCUUUGAAAGUAAACAAGG